rnacentral:lncRNA from 1 species
AGGUGGAGCUGCGGAAAGAUGUACACCCACAGCUCCACCACCAGGCAUGAGCCAGCUCCAGCCCAGCACUGAGAGUAGCACCGUGGGUUUACCUACCAGUGUCGGGGCUGGAGGACAGAAGAAGAAGCAUGGACAAGGAGCAGAGAAGUCACCAAUCAUCUCACUAACUGAAAACAGGAGGCUUAAGAAACGGUCCGAAUUUGCCAUUUCCAGUUUGCAAAAAAGAAGGGCCAAGUUGGAUGCUCUUGGUGCGUGUGAACCCUGGUGUAUGGUCCCAGAGUCCUCGCUCCUGAGCGUGCCUCCGGACUGUUAGUGGGGAACCGCACAGGGAGCAGGCGUCUUGGGACCAGCAAUGGAGUCUUCGGCAGAAUUUACGGGUAGGAUGAGCCCCAUGUGGACAAAUCCGGGAGAUCCACCCAGGUACACUUACCAAGGCUACGCAGAGGGAUCAAAGGACAGCGGCUUCUUAAGUACACUGGACCUUCCUGAAGACAUUUACAGUCCAGGGAUAGAACUGGUCCAGGCGGGAAGUCACCGAGCCCCAUCCUAGGGUGAGGCCCAUCUGUAUUUAGAAAUGUAAAACGGGGAUCCCUGGGUGGCGCAGCGGUUUAGCACCUGCCUUUGGCCCAGGGCGUGAUCCUGGAGACCCGGGAUCGAAUCCCACAUCCGGCUCCCGGUGCAUGGAGCCUGCAUCUCCCUCUGCCUGUGUCUCUGCCUCUCUCUCUCUCUCUCUCUCUCUCUGUGUGUGACUAUCAUAAAUAAAUAAAAAUUAAAAAAAGAAAAAAGAAACGUA